rnacentral:lncRNA from 1 species
AGAUAAAAAAUAGAAGCUUGCUAGCAAUAGAAAGAGAGAGAAGGAGAGAGAGAGAGAGAGAGAGGUACAAGACGUAUCUUCGUUCUAUAGAUAAAAAGGACAAAGAAACGUUCGAGGUCAGGAGGGAAGGUCGUCGAAGGCGCGAGAAUACAAACGUCGGAUCGGUGAUUCUCGGAAGAAGAAAGAUUACUAGAAGAAUCUCGGUGGUGGGGGAGGUUUGACGCGUGGAAAGUAGGAGGCUACGUUCGGUUCCAGUCGGUCGCACGAAGCGUGAAGGGUUCGAACGGUAGAAGUAACGGGGAGAAACGGAGGAGCUUGAAAGCUCGGAUCAUUUAGUUGGAAGAGGAGAGAAUGAAAAAAAAAAAAAAAAAAGGGAGGACGACGAUCGUGUUCUUACGAGAGUACGAAAAGACGUUUCAAGUCCUUGAUAAAAACGAAGGGAGCCAACCAAAGGGAGAAUAGUAAUAAAACGCAAAAAAGAAAAAAAAAAGGAUAAAAAUAAAAUAAAAUUUCAAGAAGUCCGAGGAAGAUAAUUUCGUCGAAAGUAACAUUAUAGUCACAUGUUAGGAUUAUUAAAAUGAUUUUCUUUAUAAAGUCAUACGAUACCUCGAUUCUAUCCUCCAAGAAUUAAGGUGUCUACGCCAAUGGCUGCAUAAAGGGGGAACGCGGCACCUCGGUAUUCAGCGGUUCUCAUUUCUCGUCCUUUUGUUAAUGCCUGACACCACCAAGUCUUUUCCCAGGCCACUUCGUGUCUCUGAUAGUCAGAAGAUAUGGUUGAGCUCGUCGUUGCUUCUCGAGAACCACGGUUUAGUGUCGUCUCUCUUACUCUGGUUUCAACCCGAAUUUUCCACCACUUUAUGCAAGCAUCGCCCUCCUGGCCGUUUACGUGGCCCUGCACCCGGAUUCAUCCAUUCGCCGAUAAAUCGAACCAGCCUCGGGGGCUGCUAAAGAGAAACCACCUUUCUUUCUCUCUCUCUUUCUCUCUCUCUUUCUGUCUUUCUUUCUUUCUCUUUCUCUUUCUCUAUUUAUCUUCCUCCCUUCUCUAUCCCUCUUCCUUUGCUCAACGUUUAGCUACUAUCGUCGUCACUUUUAAUUGAAAAAAAUGUUCCUGAAAUGAAUUGCCUAAAACCCCGAUGAACUCGCCUCUCCCCUAUGCCCAUUCAAUUACAAUCGUAAAGAAAAAAUCUUUCAAAAUGGUAUCACUGUAUCAAGUUUAAUUAUUUUUCAAAUAGAAUUUCAUUUUCAGGCCGAACAAACUUGUCUAUUAUAGUGAACGUAAAACAAUACUAUAAUUAAAAUGUAAAGGUAUUUUUUGAUUUGGAGGAAUGGUUGUAGAAUAAAAUAAAGAAAUGAUUAAAUAAUGUAGAACGUUAAAGAAAUAGAGGGAAUGGAAGAGGGCAGACGUUUGUGGUC